rnacentral:rRNA from 1 species
CCUACGGGAGGCAGCAGUCGAGAAUCAUUCACAAUGGGGGAAACCCUGAUGGUGCGACGCCGCGUGGGGGAAUGAAGGUCUUCGGAUUGUAAACCCCUGUCAUGUGGGAGCAAAUUAAAAAGAUAGUACCACAAGAGGAAGAGACGGCUAACUCUGUGCCAGCAGCCGCGGUAAUACAGAGGUCUCAAGCGUUGUUCGGAAUCACUGGGCGUAAGGCGUGCGUAGGCUGUUUCGUAAGGCGUGUGUGAAAGGCGCGGGCUCAACCCGCGGACGGCACAUGAUACUGCGAGACUAGAGUAAUGGAGGGGGAACCGGAAUUCUCGGUGUAGCAGUGAAAUGCGUAGAUAUCGAGAGGAACACUCGUGGCGAAGGCGGGUUCCUGGACAUUAACUGACGCUGAGGCACGAAGGCCAGGGGAGCGAAAGGGAUUAGAUACCCGGGUAGUC